CCAGGUCACCGGUGAACGUUCUCAGCACACACGGAACUGCAGGGCUGCCCUCCUUCCCAGCUCCUCUCAGAAACAGACAGGUGGGACCGAAGAAAUCCUCAGUGUUGGAAGCUGACCACUAAAACCUGGCAAGAGAGAGCCAGGGCACUCAGGACUUGGGGAAGAGUUGAAGUAUAAUGUUGGAGAAAGACCCUAUGGGGAGCCUCACUUGACUAGAAGAAGAAUUAGUUUUUCCUUGGACCCAGGAAUCUGCUGAGGUGUUCACAGCCGCCUGCACCUGCCAUGUCAGAUAGUAAAAGUGGUGUGAUGAUGACCAAGUUGGACGGUGAAUGGAAGAUUCUCGACACCAGAAUGACCUUCUGCCUGAAAAGUUCAUCCAGAGAGUCAUCACUUUGUACCCCUGAUCAGCGUGCUAAGCAAAGAGCAGCUGUGACUCAGCCUGGUGCACUGAAGAGAUGGUUCCUGGUUCUUUUAAAGGGCACCUGUGUCCAUUUUGCUGCUGUGGACAUCCAUCUUUCCUUAACAUUCCUAAAUUAAAAUGGAAGGCUUUAGGAAGAGUCGUUAUUAUUAUGAAGUUAUAUUAAGAAAUAAUAGCCUUUAAAAUAUAUUAACACAUUCUUAACAAAUGUUAUUGGGACAGGAAAAUAAAGCAAACAAAAAGAUAUGAACA
rnacentral:lncRNA from 1 species